rnacentral:lncRNA from 1 species
UUUAGGCACCCCAAAUCACAACGAUUUCUCGUUACCAAAUCCAUCAAUCCACAACAGCCCACCGACCGAUACAGACAGACAAGGACGGACGCGCGCACGCUAUUAGAACAGAAUAGAACAGAAAGUAUAGAGGCGAGGCGAGGCGAGGCGAGGCGAGGAGAAGAAAAGGCUUAGAUCUUGUCGAUGUCCUCGUCCUCGAAUUGGAUGUAGUCGCUGUCGCCCUCGCCCUCCUCUGGGCCGUCGACGUCGACUCCCUCGUUGAGGCGCAGCGUGUCGGGGAGCUCCCCGUAGGCCUUGAGCAGCCUGGCCUCGUCGUUCAUGUACUUGAGGAUGACGUCGGCCUUGUCGUCCUGGUAGUCGCGGAGGCCGACGAGGACGAUGUCCCCGGCGGCGAUCCAGACCUUCUUGUGCAUCUUGCCCCGGAUGUGGCAGAGGCGCUUGGUGCCGUCGACGCAGAUGGCCUCGCAGCGGCCGUUGCCGAGCAUCCGCGUCACCUGCGCGUACUCCUGGCCGUCCUCCUUGAAGACGAGCUCGCGCUUGUCGUCGUCCGCCUCGUUCUUGCCCCUCUUGCGGUUCUUGCCU